rnacentral:rRNA from 1 species
CUCAGGACGAACGCUGGCGGCGUGCCUAAUACAUGCAAGUCGAACGCUUCUUUCCUCCCGAGUGCUUGCACUCAAUUGGAAAGAGGAGUGGCGGACGGGUGAGUAACACGUGGGUAACCUACCCAUCAGAGGGGGAUAACACUUGGAAACAGGUGCUAAUACCGCAUAACAGUUUAUGCCGCAUGGCAUAAGAGUGAAAGGCGCUUUCGGGUGUCGCUGAUGGAUGGACCCGCGGUGCAUUAGCUAGUUGGUGAGGUAACGGCUCACCAAGGCCACGAUGCAUAGCCGACCUGAGAGGGUGAUCGGCCACACUGGGACUGAGACACGGCCCAGACUCCUACGGGAGGCAGCAGUAGGGAAUCUUCGGCAAUGGACGAAAGUCUGACCGAGCAACGCCGCGUGAGUGAAGAAGGUUUUCGGAUCGUAAAACUCUGUUGUUAGAGAAGAACAAGGACGUUAGUAACUGAACGUCCCCUGACGGUAUCUAACCAGAAAGCCACGGCUAACUACGUGCCAGCAGCCGCGGUAAUACGUAGGUGGCAAGCGUUGUCCGGAUUUAUUGGGCGUAAAGCGAGCGCAGGCGGUUUCUUAAGUCUGAUGUGAAAGCCCCCGGCUCAACCGGGGAGGGUCAUUGGAAACUGGGAGACUUGAGUGCAGAAGAGGAGAGUGGAAUUCCAUGUGUAGCGGUGAAAUGCGUAGAUAUAUGGAGGAACACCAGUGGCGAAGGCGGCUCUCUGGUCUGUAACUGACGCUGAGGCUCGAAAGCGUGGGGAGCAAACAGGAUUAGAUA